rnacentral:tRNA from 1 species
GGGAAUAUGGCUUAGUGGCAGAGUGCUUGCCUAGUAUGUAUGAGGACCUGGGUUCAAUUCCUCAGUACCA